GACUAAGCGUACACGGUGGAUGCCCUGGCAGUCAGAGGCGAUGAAGGACGUGCUAAUCUGCGAUAAGCGUCGGUAAGGUGAUAUGAACCGUUAUAACCGGCGAUUUCCGAAUGGGGAAACCCAGUGUGUUUCGACACACUAUCAUUAACUGAAUCCAUAGGUUAAUGAGGCGAACCGGGGGAACUGAAACAUCUAAGUACCCCGAGGAAAAGAAAUCAACCGAGAUUCCCCCAGUAGCGGCGAGCGAACGGGGAGCAGCCCAGAGCCUGAAUCAGUGUGUGUGUUAGUGGAAGCGUCUGGAAAGGCGCGCGAUACAGGGUGACAGCCCCGUACACAAAAAUGCACAUACUGUGAGCUCGAUGAGUAGGGCGGGACACGUGGUAUCCUGUCUGAAUAUGGGGGGACCAUCCUCCAAGGCUAAAUACUCCUGACUGACCGAUAGUGAACCAGUACCGUGAGGGAAAGGCGAAAAGAACCCCGGCGAGGGGAGUGAAAAAGAACCUGAAACCGUGUACGUACAAGCAGUGGGAGCACGCUUAGGCGUGUGACUGCGUACCUUUUGUAUAAUGGGUCAGCGACUUAUAUUCUGUAGCAAGGUUAACCGAAUAGGGGAGCCGAAGGGAAACCGAGUCUUAACUGGGCGUUAAGUUGCAGGGUAUAGACCCGAAACCCGGUGAUCUAGCCAUGGGCAGGUUGAAGGUUGGGUAACACUAACUGGAGGACCGAACCGACUAAUGUUGAAAAAUUAGCGGAUGACUUGUGGCUGGGGGUGAAAGGCCAAUCAAACCGGGAGAUAGCUGGUUCUCCCCGAAAGCUAUUUAGGUAGCGCCUCGUGAAUUCAUCUCCGGGGGUAGAGCACUGUUUCGGCAAGGGGGUCAUCCCGACUUACCAACCCGAUGCAAACUGCGAAUACCGGAGAAUGUUAUCACGGGAGACACACGGCGGGUGCUAACGUCCGUCGUGAAGAGGGAAACAACCCAGACCGCCAGCUAAGGUCCCAAAGUCAUGGUUAAGUGGGAAACGAUGUGGGAAGGCCCAGACAGCCAGGAUGUUGGCUUAGAAGCAGCCAUCAUU
rnacentral:rRNA from 1 species